rnacentral:tRNA from 1 species
UGAGGAGUGGCCAAAUUGGUAAGGCACCUGAUUCUGGAUCAGACAAUUGCAGGUUCGAGUCCUGCCUCCUCAGCAA